CCCUACGGGGCGCAGCAGUGAGGAAUAUUGCGCAAUGGGCGAAAGCCUGACGCAGCGACGCCGCGUGGAGGAUGACGGCCUUCGGGUUGUAAACUCCUGUCAGUGGGGAAGAGAUAGGACGGUACCCACUGAGGAAGCUUCGGCUAACUACGUGCCAGCAGCCGCGGUAAGACGUAGGGAGCAAGCGUUGUCCGGAAUUACUGGGCGUAAAGAGCUCGUAGGCGGGAGCGUAAGUCUGAAAGGAAAUCUCAAGGCUCAACUUUGGGGCUUUUUCGGAUACUGCGUUUCUUGAGGUUAUCAGAGGAAAGUAGAAUUCCCGGUGUAGCGGUGAAAUGCGUAGAUAUCGGGAGGAAUACCAGUGGCGAAGGCGACUUUCUGGGAUACACCUGACGCUGAGGAGCGAAAGCGUGGGGAGCAGACGGGAUUAGAUACCCCUGUAGUCGG
rnacentral:rRNA from 1 species